AAACACAGCCUGGGCGCUGGCGGAAAAGUGCGAGGGCAGCGGGCCCUGGGUCCCACGCGGCGUCGGGGAGCUGAGCCGCGCGCACUCCCAACCAGGGCGCACGCCUUGCGGGGGCAGAACCCGCAGAAAGGGACCCCCCACCCACGCGAAGGACGGGCAGGGCGGGGAGGAAAAAUUAUUAAUAACGGGGAGAGGAGGGGUGGAUUUGAAAGACCUGGAAGUGGAAUGUUCAGACUGUAGUCACAGUAAGGGCCAAGGCCCUGAGGUGGGCACACGGCGAAGGCGCUGGAGGCAGAGCCAGGAAGCAGCCGUGGCCGGGGCAGGGUGAAGAAGAGGGGGAUGAUGGCAGGGAAGGCAGAGAGCUAGACCACGCCCAGAGGGGAGGGGGUGAGAUUUUUUUCUAAGAGCAUUAGGGAGCAAUGGGAGGGUGUGGAGCCGCGAGGAGAGGAUGGGAUCUACGUCACGAUUUUAAGAAGCUCCAUGGGAGGCCGCACGUGGUGGCAGCGUGUGCCUGUAGCCCCAGCACUUCGGAGGCCGAGACAGGAUGAUGGCUUGAACCCAGCAGGUGAAGGCUGCAGUUAGCUGUGAUCGUGCCACUGCACUUCAGCCUGGACGACAGACCAAGACUCUUACUAAAAACUAAAAAAACCGGCCGGGCGCGGUGGCUCAUGCCUGUAAUCCCAGCACUUUGGGAGGCUGAGGCGGGCGAAUCACCUCAGGUCAGGAGUUCGAGACCAGCCUAAACAACAUGGUGAAACCCCCUCUCUACUCAAAACACAAAAAUUAGCUGGGUGUAGUGGCGGGCGUCUGUAAUCCCAGCUACUCAGGAGGCUGAGGCAGGAGAAUCGCUUGAACCCGGGAGGCGAAGGUUGCAGUGAGCCAAGAUUGCGCUCCAGCCUGGGCAUAGAGUGAGACUCCGUCUCAAAAUAACAACAACAAAAACUAAAAAAACCUAAGAAGCUCCGUUGCCAGUGAGAUCAAGGUGGCACAGAGGGGGCGGGGAGGUUGCCCCGGGGAAGGGGCCCAGGGCAGGUCCUCGGCUGGGUCUCUGCUUCUUGGGGUGGACAGUGGUGAGUCACCCACCAUGGAUGUCCCCUAAAUACGGGUCAGGGGCUGUGCCUGGAGGAGCCCUAAGGAGAAUCUUCUUUUAGGGCAGGGAGGUUGCCAGGAGAAGGGGCCGACUGUACCCUCACCCUGGAUCCACCCUGCACAGUCCCACCCAUAAGCCUUUGCGCUAGCGGUUCCUGCCGCCUGGAACGCUUUUUCUCUGGCUUCUGGCCUGGCCUACUGAGGCUCCUCCUUUGGCCAAGGGUUCCUCCUUGGUCCUCCUGGGGGAGGAGGCCAACUCCUCCUCUUCCUCUUCCUCUCCCUCCUCCUCUUCCUCCUCCUCCUCCAAGCCUUCCCUGGGCACUGCCCCCGCAAGACUGUUUCCGCACAGUCCCUAGUUGGACUUGGCAGUAUUCGGAUGAAAUAACGCAUCCCGUCCUCAGUUGGCCGCCUCCGCCUUCCUCUGGGUCCUGUCUCCUUGAGGACACAGCAGUGGGGGGGCCCACGAGUACUCCCCAUUCCUGCAGAGGAGGCCGGGUUGGGUUUUCCUGCUGGUGGUUUUUCUUCUCCAUAGGUGGCGGAAACGGCCUCCCUCCCUCCUCCUCAUUAAAGUGGGGGGCCCUGGGAGGGGCCAGGACUGGGGCUGGCGCCCCCUGCAACCCCUCCCCAGCCGUGCGUGCGUGGGAGGCGGCCACAGCUGGGAGCCGGGUCUGCGCUAGGAGACCGUUUCCUCUCAGAAGCUGUAAUUAUGGGGCUGCGAGGGACUCCGGGUGACAGAAGGGAUACAGGAGGGCCUGGCCAAGAAGCCUCUGCCAAACCUGCAACUCACACCCCCACGUCCGUCCUCCACAAAGCUUAACCAAAGCCGGUACACUUCUGUGCUUCUAGCACCUUGUGUGGCUUUCACCGGCCACACAUCGAAGCCCCACCCCUCUGCCCUGCACUUGAACUCCAGAGUCAUACUAACCCUUGGGAACUGGCUUCCAUCCUCUGGUAAUGUCCUCCUUCCAGACCAAAGAAGGUGGCAGCAUCUCUAGUUUUUCUUUUUAGAUAUGGGUGUCUCACUCUGUCACCCAGGCUGGAGUGCAGCGGCACAAUCAUAGCUCACUGCAGCCUCAACCUCCGGGUUUAAGUGAUCCUCCCACCUCAGCUUCCCAAGUAGCUGGGACCAAAUGCAUGCACUAACAAGCCCAGCCAUCAUUUCUUCUCCCCAUGUUACAGAUGGGGAAACUGAGGCUCGUAAAGGAACCAAGGACGUCAUGUGAGCGACCCAGAGGCAAUACCCCACCCAUCAGAGUGCUUCCAGUACCCUGUCUGGUCUGGGAGACUCGAGGUGUCUCUUAGAAAUCCCAGGUCUAGGAGGAGG
rnacentral:lncRNA from 1 species